CUGGAAAAUAGCACUCAAUUUCUUGCGCCCACACUUAUCGGCUGUAGUUGACAACAGUGUGUGAGCGUGAGCCAGCUGAGCAGACCAGCUGUGUGCUUCGGCACCUGGUUGACGCGACGUAGACACCCACGCUUCGCCAAGAACGUGAAGGGUCUGUAGCUCAGUCGGUUAGAGCACCGUCUUGAUAAGGCGGGGGUCGUUGGUUCGAAUCCAACCAGACCCACCAUCUUCACGGGGGAUUAGCUCAGCUGGGAGAGCACCUGCUUUGCAAGCAGGGGGUCGUCGGUUCGAUCCCGUCAUCCUCCACCACACCAAACGAUCCGGUCGCUGUCGCAAGUGGCUGCCCAAGGGCAGGCCGCUUGCGACAGCGUCUCGAAAGAGUCGGCUGUUGUUCUUUAACAAUUCGUAGAGUCGAAUCAGCGUCGUCGACGGAAACCGCUCAUGGCGGACCGUGCCGUCGAUGACAUUUUGAUUGCGUCACCAAGAAUCAACUCGCAAGAGUUUGAAGAACGGCAUAACGCGUAAUACUCAAACAGUCCUUGACGAUGCCUCUACAGCGAGGCGUCAAAGUUAUAGGGUCAAGUGACUAAGUGCAUGUG
rnacentral:tRNA from 1 species